rnacentral:sRNA from 1 species
CAAUUAUCUAGCGCGCCAGGCCGAACCGCAGCUUCUUGGCUUAGGUACUUCUACUCACAGCGGCCGAUUCCGAGGCCAACUCCAGCAAUGGCUUUUGCAAAUCUGCGGAAAGUGCUCAUCAGUGACAGCCUGGACCCUUGCUGCCGGAAGAUCUUGCAAGAUGGAGGGCUGCAGGUGGUGGAAAAGCAGAACCUUAGCAAAGAGGAGCUGAUAGCCGAGCUGCAGGACUGUGAAGGCCUUAUUGUUCGCUCUGCCACCAAGGUGACCGCUGAUGUCAUCAACGCAGCUGAGAAACUCCAGGUGGUGGGCAGGGCUGGCACAGGUGUGGACAAUGUGGAUCUGGAGGCCGCAACAAGGAAGGGCAUCUUGGUUAUGAACACCCCCAAUGGGAACAGCCUCAGUGCCGCAGAACUCACUUGUGGGAUGAUCAUGUGCCUGGCCAGGCAGAUUCCCCAGGCGACGGCUUCGAUGAAGGACGGCAAAUGGGAGCGGAAGAAGUUCAUGGGAACAGAGCUGAAUGGAAAGACCCUGGGAAUUCUUGGCCUGGGCAGGAUUGGGAGAGAGGUAGCUACCCGGAUGCAGUCCUUUGGGAUGAAGGUAAGAUGUUGCUGGAACCCUGUGAUGUGGGACUUUCUGCAGCAAUUUUGGGAAAGGCAGCAUGUCUGGGCAGAAGCCAGAAGCUUUGUACUAGGAGGGUCUGACCCUCUCUUGGAGCCCCCAUCUAAAUAAGUGUUAAAGUCAAGGAGGGAGAGAACACUGGCCUGCUGAUCUGGACUCAAAAGCUGGAAAUACUUGGUGGGGGUCCUUUAGCUCUCUGGUGAGUGAAUAGCCCUGAGUCCCAGUGAACCAGGUGUUGAUGGCUGUUUUGAGACUUUGGUUCUUGUCUUCUUAGUUUAAAAGAAUUUAAACAAGAGACACGGUGCAGCAUUGAGGAGUUUAUUGCAAAGGAAAAAGAAUAUUUUGAAAGUUAAGUGCAGAGUAGACAGUACACCUUGGGAGAGAGAGAAUUCAGGGUGGGCUGCUCAUAAGAGUGAGGCAGUGUUGGCCGGGCGCGGUGGCUCAUGCCUGUAAUCCAGCACUUUGGGAGGCCGAGGCAGGCAGAUCAUGAGGUCAGGAGAUCAAGACCAUCCUGGAUAACAUGGUGAAACCGCAUCGCUACUAAAAAAAAAAAAAAAAAAAAAAAAAA